AUUGAACGCUGGCGGCAGGCCUAACACAUGCAAGUCGAGCGGAUGAAGGGAUCUUGCUUCUGGAUUCAGCGGCGGACGGGUGAGUAAUGCCUAGGAAUCUGCCUGGUAGUGGGGGAUAACGUCCGGAAACGGGCGCUAAUACCGCAUACGUCCUGAGGGAGAAAGUGGGGGAUCUUCGGACCUCACGCUAUCAGAUGAGCAUAGGUCGGAUUAGCUAGUUGGUGGGGUACAGGCCUACCAAGGCGACGAUCCGUAACUGGUCUGAGAGGAUGAUCAGUGACAGUCGAACUGGAACACGGGCCAGACUCCUACGGGAGGCAGCAGUGGGGAAUAUUGGACAAUGGGCGAAAGCCUGAUCCAGCCAUGCCGCGUGUGUGAAGAAGGUCUUCGGAUUGUAAAGCACUUUAAGUUGGGAGGAAGGGCAGUAAGUUAAUACCUUGCUGUUUUGACGUUACCAACAGAAUAAGCACCGGCUAACUUCGUG
rnacentral:rRNA from 1 species